rnacentral:piRNA from 1 species
UCAUUGGAGAGGGCAGAGGUGACUGGG